AUAAUAACAGAUAUAAAUUAUUAUUUUAAAUAAAAAAACCGAUACUUAAAGUGAACGAAAAUAAUAAAUACACAAUAAACAACAAAAGAUUAUAUUCUAAAAUUCUUGAAACAGUACCUAAUCGCCUACAAUACAAUUCAAAACGUUAUUUCUUCGACAUUCGCCAGUCAAACAACAUAAUAUGAGCAACCACGAAUGGUGAACGGUUGUUGUCAAAUAAACAAAUGAUAAACGUGUUUCUGAUAAAUAAUAUUAUUCUUUCGCCGUCGUUGAUUAGGCCAGUUGCCUGUAGUAUAUUACCAUUAUAGUAUACGCAAAACGCCGACGGUAAUGGAACCGUGACUUAUCCUAACUCAUUAUGUUUUAUUUCUUCAUUAAGAUAUCGGACUAUCGGAGCAUGUAGCAACUUCUCGAAAACCUCGGACAGGCCUGAUAAAUACCAACACCAUUUACAUUCUACAGAGAGAAUCAGCAACUACCGCAAAACAACUACUAAAUGUUUUUCACGCAAGUAUGACUCAGAAAAAUAAAUGACGACAUAACUGAAUAAAAAAUUUGAUAGUAAAGACAAACAAGUGGAUAUUUCAGGAUUAUCCAAACAGCAGAAGAGCAGUAAUCAAGGAAAACAUACAUCGAGCAGUGCCCAACAACAAGAACGAAAGCAAUAAGACAAACAAUCCCAAUAUGGUGAAAAACGAAAUAGAGCCAAUAAGCAGAAUAAUUUUUUAUUUUUUUAAUACAUAAUCUGUAAGAUUAACCCAAACAAAUUUAUUGUCCUAUUAGAUAUGACAUAACAAAUAAACUAUAAAACAUAACUAAAUAUAA